UGGACUGACCGUGACUGCGGCCUGAGGACUGCAAUUGCAGUAACUGAGGUUGACUACUUCAGGUUUCUAGAUGCAAUCCUUUUGCUUCUAUUUGCUCCCUUUUUAGCUCCAUUCCACAUGUGCUCACCUUUUCCACUUUAUACCUGCAAAAUGUGUGUGUUAGUGCACUUAAAUCCAUAUAAUACCUUAGUUUCUAAUACAAAACAUAGCAGUAUGCAUGCAUGAUUAUUACGGAUAAGUGGUAGGAUUACCACUCAUCACAACUCCCGGUGGUCUAAAUCUUGAGAUGUUAAUUUCAAAGUUCGAAUAGGAUCAAGAUAUGAUUGCUAUGUUAUAAGGAAGAGGCCAUUUUCAUAUGACAUGAAUUGGAUCGGGGUAAAUAGAAUUCUUAUAGUCAUGAACCUGAAAAAAUAUUUUGUGACUCUUGAGAUACUCCUCCAUAAGAGACACAUAAAUGCUUAUGAUUACAACUUACUAUACUUUGAGGACUAGGGAUUCUUAAGCAAAGCGCAACCACUAUUGGACUUGCUGCCCAAAUUGUUGUAGGAAAGUGACUUAAUGCACGACUUGCCAGAGAAAGUGUUAAAAAAACAACAAUUGAAGAUCGAAAAAAGGACCUUGAAAAAAAUGACACUGGUGCCGUGUGCAAGUCAUACUCUCUUGCAUAUAACGAAUGAUUGCUAACCAACACCGAAAUGCCAUUACCAAGGACCUUACUAAAUGACAACACUAGGGAAAGAAUGCAAGCAAGAGGUCUAGACUGUUUUGAUUCUAUAUCAAAGUUUGAACCCUGUGUUUAAAAACAUAUAAUUUUUUUCUAAGUUUUUAACUUAGUUGUAUAUUGUUUAAGUAAUGAUAAUUUUUUUUAUGUUUAAUGACAAUUGUAUUGUUUUAUUAAAUUUGCAAACUUAUGCAUUAGUACAAAAAAUAAUUACAAUUAUUUUAAUUUGUUCCAACAGACGAACCAUCUGUUGCAACAGAUAGUCCAUCUGUUGGAACAAUUCAAACCAGUACGAAGGCCUAUUUGAUAAUUUACAACGGAUGUGCCAUCUAUCGUAACGGAUCCAUUAUCUAUUGCAAUAUUUGAAUCUACUAUUCUAUUUUAAUUAAUUAGUUCAAAUCUAAGGAAAAAUAAAAUUCAUAGACAAAAUAAAAUAAAUCAAAGCCUUCACAAAUUAUAUUAAGCAAAUCAACAAAUAAAUAAAAUGUAAAAAUUUGGUAUGCAUGCAAAUGAUAAAUCUUUACAAUGUAAGUUUUGAAGCCAAUAAUUCCUAAGGAGAGGAGAGUUUAUUACUUUGACAAGAUUCAAGCUAUAAAGAUCUACUUAAUAUUGACCAGUUGUUCUUUAUUCAGUGGUGUGGAUUUCAGCUUUGGUCAUCGUGGAUCUUUAAUGUCACUUACGCACUAAUUCUCACCUUUCACGUCUAUCAUUUGGUAGUUGUAAUCCAUCGCUCAAAUACUCGACCUAAGUGACAACAAAAAGAAUGCAAUCUCUGCGAUUGUAAAAAUUGGAUAAUACAUAUCUUGUAAUUAAUAAAAGAGUUGUGAAAUUUAUGAAACUAAAUUAUGAAACUUACAUGCUACCAUUAGAUUGUUGAGUAAUUCCUUCAAAAUAUUCUACAUCAAAUGAGUUAUUCAUUUUAUCCCGAUAUACUUCAAUCGUCGACCAAUCAGUAUGAAUCUUUUGGUCCAAAAAUCCACUUAAUUCAAUGUAAGUAGGCAAUAUUUUGGCCAAGUUUUGUAUCUCAGACAAUGACCUAGAAUGUUUCCUUGUUGACAUUAAAUCAUAAACUCGGAUGCGCCUCUCUUUUAGAACAACGACAACCAACACCCAAUGGAAUUUACCAUCAUAAUUGAUCGGGAUGUAUACUUUGUCCAUCAAAUGUCAAGGUAAGCCAGUUGGAAUGCUAAAACCUUUGAUGAUGUUGAUUAAACAUUCCUUACUUCGGGGCACUUCCAGCUUUUGUUGACAAAGACCGUAGGCCUUAUUGAUGUAAACUUUGAAUAAAUAGUUGCCUGCCAUGUAUUUGUAUUAUUGUCAUGUUUGCAACUUGGCCUUCUUUUGAAGGUAGUAAAAACUAACAUCGACAUGCUGCAAAUAUUAUCAAACAUUCAGAUUAUGUAAUAAUAAAAUUAAUAAAUAAAUACAAUUAAAUAACCCCCAAUAAACCUUAUUAUUAUAGCAAGUUUGGGGCCGUGACAUCAAAUAAAAUCAAUUCUUCAUUUUGGGAUAUGCCACAACAAAGUCAAACAUAUCAACAACAAGAUCCGAUUGGUUCACUUUGUAUUGCUUGUCGUUUUAUUUUCUGCAUGAUUUAUAUGUGUUAAUGUCAUGUUUUUAGAAGAAGAAUUGUAUAUAGCAAUAUUUUUACAAAUAAUUUAUGUACCUUCUAGCAUGAAUCUUUAACACCCCAUCGACAAUCCAUUCUGAAUAGUUGUUGAUCAACUUUGUUAGUUUUUUUGAAACCUCGUCUGAUAUGUUGAACCCUUCAAACUAAUAAUUCUUCCGUUCUUUCAAACUGACAGACUUUACUUUUUCUUCCUCUUUGGAAAUAGUUGAUGGGUUAUCAACUGCGAUACCAUGCUAUUCAAUAGUAUCUUUUACUGAGACAUCCACCUGAAAAGCUAGAAUUGUCAAUGAUAAUCACAGAGAUACAAAAAAAUGGAAAAAGAUAACUCAUCUAUUGGAGGAAAUCAAUAGGUUUUCCUACUGUUUUAAUUUGUCUCAAUAGAUGACCUAUUUAUUGAAACAGAUGAGUUAUCUAUUGGGACAGAUUAAAAUAGGAAGAAGACCUGUAUGAUAAUUUGUUACAGAUAAACCCAUUUUCCGCAACAUAUGACUUAUCCGUUGGAAUAAACUAUAUCAGUAGGAAGUAUUUAUUUAAUUUGUCCAUAUAGAUGACCCAUCGGUUGCAACAGAUAGGUCAUCUGUUGGGAGAAAUUAAAAUAAUAAGAAUACCUGUUUGAUUUUCUUAAACAGAUAAGACAUAUAAUAUAACAAAUAAUGCAUCUGAUGCAACAUAUUAGUCACUUGUUGCAAUAGAUGUCUAUAUCUGUUUGAUAAUUUUCAGUAGAUGUGUUAUCUAUUGAAACAGAUAUGUAGUCUAUUUGUUUGUUGGAACAGUGGAUAUUCAUAUUUUUAGCUCAUGCUUCUCUCCUGUGGCCCUUGUACAUAGCUCAAAAGUGCAAGACAAAGAUAGAGGAGUUGCAAUUUUGCUUUUUUGAUGCUUGAUAAUGCCUUGGAAGUUUCUUUCCUUUUCCCCUUAGCCUUAAUAUCUAAUGGAGUGUAUGGAUAUGAAAUCCUCUUUGACGGAAUGAAACCCCUCUUAGAUGUCAAUUCACUUACAAAAGCAGUUAAUGCAUCAAUAACAUUAAUCACUCUGUCGUAUUUUGCCUUACAGUUUUGUCAUUUGCAUGCAGAGUAUUCGCUAGGAGGGGAAAAAUUUGUAAAACCAGUAUGAUCAUAGUCAUACUGGUUUUUGUUUCAAAAACUCCAAGAGAAGCAUCAUUAGCCCCAACAGCAGCAUCACUAACACUACCACCACCACCAACUCCAUCACCACUAACACCAUUAAUAACAACAAGCUCACCCUCCAAAAGUAUUUUUCUUGUGGUGGCUGUUACUCCAAGCAAUUCCUUUUUUAUUCUAUUAAUGACCUUAGGCUCCGAUAAAGUUUGCACAAUCGUAAAGUAAGAAAAUGACAUCUUCAACUUUAGAUUGGUAGGAACAAGCCAUGGAUGCACAAUCUAAAAUAAAUUAGUACAUCUAUUAGAAUGAUGAUUAAAUCAUUUAAAAAAUUAGUAAUUAAAAGAAAAAUUUAAUUAGAAUUAAACUUACUGUACUGCUUCCUCUGGGGGGUUGAAGAUAUCAAGAAAUUUUGCUUUUUUAUCGGUUUUGGAUGACAACCAUCUCAGGAUUCUUGGACAUUAUGCCAAUAAAUCAAAAGCAUUAUUCAAUAAAAAUAAAUAAAUCAUAAUAAAAGAAAUAUUUACCAUGAAAGCUCAUGAAAAGGCAUAUAAGCUGAUUGUCUUUGGCGUUAACGGAGGCAACAAAUAUUUGACAAUUAUUUUGAAGCUUUCAUAACCCCAAGGAUAGUUGUUAAAUGCCUCCAGAUCCUCAAAGAGCUUUAUUAAACUAAGUGGUAUGUUUUUGUUAACGUCUCUCGCCCAAAGAAUAUUAUGUUCAAACCAAACCAAGCACAAUGAUUAAUUGUGCUUCUUUGAAAAUCUUUUACCUUUCAACUCUUUUAUCAAUUUGUUGUUUUUGAAGCUUGGACCAACAAGAGACAACAAGUCACCAUCACUUGACUUGCAUUUGACUUUUGGUGUGCGGGGUAUUUUUCUUGGGGUUAUAAUAGGUAUAUGAUGAGAAUGAGGAUAGCAUUUUAGUCCAUGAACUAUAGCAAACUCCUUCCAACCAAAACAAACAGGCAUGCCACAGUAAUUUAUCCAUACCUCAUCCAUUAUAUCUGUAUUUUCAUACAUAAAUCUACACUUGAGAAGAUCCUACACCAUGUUUAUUUGGAAAUGAACAUUGUUGUCCUUCGAAAAAUCAAGAUAUUACCCUAAGCAGCUAUUUCUGAAAUAAGCAUCCAAUUUUUGUUCUAAAACUAUUUUUCUAAAGCUAUCAAAAGAUUUUCCCAUGGUUGAAUUUACCACAAAGUAACUAGUUAAAUCUGUGGCACCAUCGAACUGCAUUCUCAUAGGAUAACUAUCAACAGUGAAUGUUUUGGCCAACUCUUCAAUGGAAGGGCUAUUAUCAUUUGGAUCAUCUCAUUUGAAACUUUCCUCUUCCUCAUGAUCAUUUUCUUCUACUUCUAAUUCAGAUAUCGCUUGUACAACAAGGUCAUAGAGUGGUGGAUGUAUCCUAGCAACUUCAUUUAUUCCUUUACUUGGACUUGAUUCGCUUUCUUUUCUUUAUGAGCCAUAUCAUCUAAAAAUGAGAAGAUAAUACAAAAAGAUUAUAAUUGAUUAAUGCCUUGUUAAAAAAAGAAUAAUAGUAAAUCUAACAAGCAUAACAUAGUAAAACAACAGUAAAGAAACAAAUUACUCAUUUGUUGUAGCAGUCGAGUCAUCUGUUACAACAAAUAACUAACCUAUUGUAACAGAUGAGUAAUCUAUUAGAAACAAUAAAAAUGAAUUUUAUACUAUUGUGAUUUCUUCCAAUAGAUCACUCAUCCGUUGAAACAGAUGACUGGUCAUCAUUUAUCUGUUUUAACAGAUGAGUGAUUGUUGUAACUGUUAUCAAAUUAUUUAGAUUUCUUCCAGCUGAUGGGUCAUCCAUUAUAACAGAUGAAUAGACAUGUCAUCUGUUGGAAUAGCUGUUAGGAUUUCAUCCAUCAGAUAGUUUAUCUAUUGUAAUAUAUGGUUCAUCUGAUGCAAUAGAUGGUACAUCUAAUGUAACAAAUGGUACAUCUGUUAUAAUAGAUGGUACAACUAAUGCAACAGAUGGUACAUCUAAUACAACAGAUGGUACAUCUGUUGCAAUAGAUGGUAUAAUUGUUGCAAGAGAUAAUUCAUUUGAUGUAAUAGAUGGUUCAUCUAAUGUAACUGAUGGUUCAUCUGCUGUAAAAAAACAAACUAGUAGCAAGAUUUUGUUUAAUAGAACAACAAUAAUAUCACCAUUUAAUAUCAAUACACUAUUUUUACUAAGAACAACAACCUAUAAACAAUACUCAAUUAACCUAGCAACACAAGAAGAACAUUAACAUUGACCAUAAACACCAACAUUGUUGUUUUGUUUAUACAAACACAAACAACAAAAAAUAAACUUCAAAAAAUACAACAAACACCAACAAAUCAAAUCAAAAGUUCGAGAACAAGAACUACAGUAACAACAAAAAUUUAUAUUUCACUUUGAAAAGAGAAGAGAAGAAAUAUCAUAAAUUAGGAUUUUCUUGAGUCUCUAUUUCAAAUUUAAGCACGGAAUAUUUAACUUUGACUCAAGUUCCUCUUUUAUUCAUAACUAAAAAGACCUAAUUUUUACCUGUGAAAGUCGAAAAGGAACGAUGAAGAACUCGAAGCUGUUGUCACCAGAAAAUGCUGUCACGUUGAUUGAUUGUUGAAAGUAGAAAAGAAACUCAAAAUUAUUUGACGUCGGAGGUUGGAGUCACCGAGAAUUGAAGGGAAAAAUUUAUAGAACUGUUUGUUGGGAAGUUAUAGAGAAACUGUUGGAGAGAGAUGGGAGAGAGAGAUGUUGAUUUAGAGAGGAGAGAGGUGUGAGUUGUUUUAUAUUUUUGAAAAUAUUCGAAAGUUUUAAAAAUAUUAAUUAAGUCCACAAUUAACUUAAUCAAACUUUUUAAUUAUGUUUGACCCUUUAUGUUGGUCAAUGUCAUUAAUGCCUCAUUCAAGACUUAAAAGACACAUUUCCUUCAACUUUCUCUAAUAACCUUGUAAGAUUUCACCCAUUGAAGGAACAUCUACCAAAGUAUUUUUUGAAUAAGAACUUUUAAUUAUUUUAUUUAAUUUAAAUUCUAUCUUAAUUUAUAUAUUAACUUUAUUGACGGGAUCAUACAAUAAUUCAUAGGAUCAAAUAAUUUUAUAUCAUUUAAAUAUUAUACUUUUUUAGAAAAUAAUUAACCAAUAUAUGUUUAAUUGAGAAAAAAUAAUGAAGUUAGUUUAACAUAAGGCAAAACCUAACUUAGAUUGUUAAAAAAUUUAAUUAAAGAACUUCCAAUAAAAUAUAAAGGAGAAGAGUUUUAGAACAUGCAUUUGCUCGAAAAAUUAAAAAGAAAUCUACAAUAUACCUUAAAAAGGCUCUCUCCAAACUUACAAAAACUUUUAUUUCCUUCCCUUCAAUUUGUUUAUCUGAUUUUGACUUAGCAGAAAAUUUUAAAUGUUGUGGUCUUACACUAAAGAUAUAUAGAAAAGAUCAAAAUUAGGUUUAUUCAAAAUCAAAUCGUAAUCGAUAACUCAACUGCAAAAUUAACUUUAGAUUGUUGGUAAUGAGUUAUCAGAUUAAUGGUUGGUGAACAAACUAAAAUUUACAGUUAAUGACUCAUCGGUGCGGGGAGAUAACUCAAUUUUCUCAUAGGAUAAAUCGUUAACCCAUUAACAAUUCUCAUAUUUACCCCUAGAUACAUAAUGUAUCUCUCGUAUAAACUCAAAAAUUAGAACCUCAAUCAGUAUUCUAUUUACUUCUUAGAUUAGGAAAUAAGCAACUUAUUGUGACUUCUAACUAUAAAGUGCAGUUGGCCUCCCUAAAAAAAAUAAAUGAAACCCUAAAUUAAUUCAUAAUUGAAAAGACAAAUUAUUCUUGACAAUACGAAGGACCACAACGAAACUGAAACAACUUCAAUGUGCUCUUCACAAAGUUUAAUAUAACACUGAAAAAUUUCAAACCAUAUCAAAGUAUUGAUUUUAUAGUUGACCUAAUAAUUAAAAAAAAUUUCUACAUAUAUUUUAGUUUUGAAGAAAAUUUUCAUUUGAUUUUGUGUUAUAACUUAUUAAAAAUAUUGUACGACAGAACUCAACAAGUCUAAACAAUUGAUAAAUAGAUGAGUAUUAUAUACAAAAAACUUAGUCAGUGAAGAAAUGGAGGACAUAUUGAUAACCUCUCAAUAUUUCAUCGACACUUAGAUUUAUUCAAUACACCAUCCAAUAAUUGUCCGUUCAUUGCUAAUUAAUUUGAUACUAAACUAGCCGUUAUCUUAUCAGUUGGCUUGCGAAUUAUUACAUUUAAAAAUUAAUAACUAAUAAGCCGAACCGCUAAGCAUAAUUAUCUGUCCGAUUUGCCGAUAAGAAAUCUAACCAAAUACCUUUUAAUCUUAUGAUCUUAAAUGCUAUGUGAAAAGUCAAAAUUAAGGGUUUCCACGUAAGAAAAACGAUACUCUUUGAAACGAACUAAAAAAGAAAAUAUAACAAAAAAAUUGAAAUUGAUAUAGAAUUUAAAAUUUUAAAAAUUGUUAAACUAUCUUUAACUAAUAUAAUGUGAUAAAAACAAACAAAAAAUAAGAUUAACAAAAAAGAGAAAAAAAAUUACAAAUGUAAAUGUAAAUAUAGCUUGGGUCUGGGCCUAGCACAGGUCAAAUGACUCUAGUUUGUUGAUACUCCAUUCAUUUCGUAUUACUUGACCUUUGUUGAUUUCACAUACUCGUUAAUAAAAUUUUAAUUAUAGGUGUAAUUUUACAAAUCUAACCUUAUUAAUGAUAUUUUAAAAUUCUAAAUUUGACUACUAUUACUUUAUUAGUUACUCCCUCCGUCCAACAAUACUGUUCAUUAUUGAUUUGGCACAUAGGUUAAGAAAUAAUAAACAAUAGAGGUAGUUUUACUAUAUUACCCUUUGAAUAUACUAAUUUAAUUCUUUAGAAAAUAUUGAGUGAUAAAUAGUAUUUCCUCCGUUCAAAUUUAUAUGCGUUAUUUUGACUUGACAUGGAGUUUAAGAAAGAAAGAAAGAAAGACUUUCGAAAUUUGUAGACUACAAUAAGUGAUAGAUGUUUCUUUGACUAUAAAUUAUUUCAUUAAGAAUAAAAUGAGUAUAUAAAUUCAAAUUGUUACUAAAUAUAGAAAUGUAUCAUUAUUUUUGGGUCUGACUAAAAAGGAAGGUGAGUCUUAUAAAUUGGGACAGAGGAAGUAUUUAAUAGCAAGUGUAAGGUAGAUAGAAAAAGAUAAAAUAUUCAUUGAUUUUUCAAUCUGGACAAGUAUGAUUGAACAUCUGUAUUUAAUAGAGUGGACAAGUAUUGUUGACAUAGAAAACAUUUAAGACAAACUUUUCUUGAUUUCAUAAAUUGAACAAGUAAACUAAAAUAACUAUAUUUAGGAAAAAGAUCAAGUAAAACAAAAUGGAUGGAGUAUUUUAAGAGUGAUAACUGGACAAUUCAAAAAAAAAAGUCUAUUUUUAAAAUAGUAGACAAAUAAAAAUAAAUGCAGGGAGUACUUUCAUCCUUCCGUUAUAAUUGGUCUUUGUUGAUUUUUAAUAUUUCCCCUAAAGAGUUACUCUCAACCAUUUUAUUUAUCACAUUUUUUACUUACACAUCUUUUAAGAAAUUAUGUAUUGUAAUUAUCAUACUUUAUUUAUCUCUCAAAUCAUUUAAAUGUUAGUCCUCCAAUUAAUAUUCAUUCUUUAAUCUUUCUUCGAUAAAUAGAAAGAAGGUUAAUCUAAGCAAUCAGUAUAUUGGAUAUGUGUGUUCUUCAUUUAGGUUUUCUAUGUUAAUUAGUCAAUGUUUAAAAAGGAGAGUUCGGAGCACUAAAGCUUUCGUUAUGUACAGAGGCCGAGAAAAAGCCCAAUCACAAGGGCAUAUCGUAUGCAGUCUUACCUUACAUUUCUGCAGGGGUUUAUGUUAAUGACUCAUUGUUUAUUAUUUUAAAAAUAAUUACUACUAAGAUCAGAAUGAGAAGAAUAUACUCCAUCCUUUUCAUUUUACUUGACUCCUGUACAGAAAAUAGAAGUUUCAAAUUACUUAUCCAUUUUUCGAAAAUCUAGAUAGCGUUAUUAGUUCUUUUCCAUACUACUCUUUGUAUUAAAUAACUAAAUAAAAUAGUAUUUUUUUUGUUCAAUUUUACUUUUCACAUUUUGGCUUGAUACGCCACUAAGAAAAUGACAUUGUUAAUUUAUCAUUUUACCUUUAUUAAUUGAUAUUUAAUAUUGAGUAUUGAAAAAUGAUUUGAAGAAUAAGUAAUUAAUGCUAAGGUAAAAUAUGAAUUUUUUUAUUUUUUCUUGAUAUGCCAAAAGAGCAAGUAAAAAUAAAAAUUUAUUUUAGAAAUAAGUAACAAGUAAAAAUAAAUGGAAGGAGUAGUAGUGAAAUUUAGAAUUUUAAAAUAAAACUAGUCUAGUAAGAUACACAUCUAACUAAAGAUUUCUUUAGGGGUGUGCCAAAUAUCAUCAAUAAGUAGAGCCGUCAACAUGGGCCAGACCUGUUGGGUUGGCCAAGCCCAUCCCAUAAAUUGUAAGGGUUGGGCUACGAUUUUUGCAGGCCGUUUAAGAAUGGAGCUUUUUAGCCUGACCCAUAUAAGCCUGUUGGCCCUUAGGUCUUGAGCAACAUGGGUUGAGCUAGCCCGUGGGUCAAAUAAAAAAUAAUUAAAAAAUAGAAUAGAGUACUAUAAAUAAAAAAAAGAGUCCAAACUCAAAGCCUAUUUGAAUCAUCAUAGAUAUUUAACUAUUAAAUAUGGUUAUAAAAUAUAUAAAUAAUUAAAAUAUAAAAUACUAAAUCUUUUAAGGAAUUAAAUAUGUUUGAUGAAGAUGAUGUGGUGAUGUAGAACACGCCAUAAGUGUCAUGUGAGUUUUUUUAAUGAGUUUAUUUUCACUUUUAAUGGACUAAAAAUAUUGACAUUUCUUUGUGUUUUAUUAUGAUCAAUUAAAACAAAAUUAUGUUAAUAUUGCUAUUUAGCUAGUUAUAUUAUUACUCAUUAGCAGUUUUGUUUGUUUUUCAACAUCUCUAUUUGGUUUGAAUUUGGUAUUAAAAGUUAUUUAAUUUCAUAGAUCAUUAGUUUUUUUCUGUAAAUUUGAGACUUGAUUAACAAGUAGUAACUUCAUAUAAUAUUAUAUUAUAAAUAUUUAUGUAAUUAAUAAUUUAAUAUUUAAAUUAAGAUUAUAAAAAUAAUAUAUUUUAAAAAGUGAGUAGGCCCAUUGAUACAAGUAUGAUCAUGACUAUGAACACUUUUUAAGCAUUUUUGAAGACCACCUAAAGAGUGCACAAGCCUAAGUGUGAAGGAGGCCCAAAACCAAUUGUGAAGUGCACUCCAUGGGGCGGCUUUGGAGCCUUUUAAUGGAAGAGCUCUUUUGUCUUUUGUCCACUACUUGUAUUGUAAUAUAAAUAUAACAUUGUAGGGUUUUAUGUCUUUAGUUUAUUAUUGAUAUUGUAAGAACACUCCUCUUAGAGAGAGAGAGAGACUCCAACCAAAACUAGGGCCUAACACAAAGGUGGAAUCGUUUGUGUGUGGUGCAUUACUUCAUACGUUGGUGCUUGAGAGGUGGACGCCCCUCUUGUGUCAUUGUAAGAGUUAGGUGCGUGUUGUGUGUGGUUUUAAGGGUCCAAGAGUGGAAUAGGAUCUUAGGUUCCUAAGAUUACAACUUCGUUGUGUCUAACUAUCUCUCUUUGUUUCUUGUUUUCAGUUUCGAUUUUCCAUGUUUUGUUGUUGAACCUGUAGGUUCUUGUUGGUGUAACCUUAUUGUUCUCCAUUAGAUUGUGUUAAUAUAGAUUGUUGGUUGGAUGGCUUCAUUUGCAAAACACUUGUUAUUCUCCCUAUUCUUGUUAUAACUAGUGAAUCCGAGAGUGGUCACCUAGAUAGUCCACGGUUUCUCUUCUUGUGGACUAUUUUUGGUGUUUGUUUUGUUGUGUUAUUUGUCAUCCUUGUAUCUUUUGGUAUCAAAGACAUCUUUGAGUUUGUUCUAACAAGAUAAAUCUUGGGUUUAAGAGUUGAAAAUAUAAAAAAAAGUGCUAAAUCUGAAAAUUCCAGAAAAAAAGAGAAAUCUGUCCAUCUUGUUCUUGGCCGAGAAAAUUGUGUUGUCUUGUUGUGUUGGCCGAGAUUGGUGUUUGUAUGUUUAGAUCUUAUGUGUUCUUUUGUUUGUAUAGUGUGUUUCUUGUGUUGAUAUCUCUUUCACUAGCACAAAGAGUGUCAAAAUCUAAAGCCGAACUUAAUAUCUUGACCAUAUUAAAGUGAACUUGGAGUUAGCCGAGCCUUGAAGACGUUGUUCUAGGAUGUAUAGUGUGUUGUUGACGUUGGGAUGAACCUUGUUGUUGUGUUGUUGUUGAGUUCUUGAAGGUUGUUGUGGUGUUCAUAUUGUUCUUCAUCUAUUCUUGCAAGUUAAGACAACCAAAAGACUAAAAUAGAUCCAAACAGUUGUAAGACAAAGGUUGUAAAGUUGUUAUGAGAAGACUUGCACACAUCACUUUCUAGACUUGACAACCACUUUUCCUUAAAUCAAGGGCCUUAUUUUGUGGGACUAGUGAAGUUAAAUCUCACCCUUUUGAGUUUGAAAAGUUGACAAGGAGUACAAGACUUUAUUUUUCCUCCAAUAUUAAGUCAUCCAUUCCAAAAGGUGUAUAAGGACUAAAAACUUCAAGUUUUUGAAAAUUUGUGAGGGCCGUGACCAAUUAAGGGGUGCCACAUCACCAAAAUCACUGGUCACACAACCAUUUUAAGCUCAAAAUUAGAUCUUCUAGUUUUGUUUUGUUGUUUCUCUUGUUGAUUCCAUUACUAACUUACGUGUUAACACUAAAUUGUAAGUUAGUUUUGUAGCCGUUCUUCAUGUUUACGAUCCUUCGUGUGUCCUUUUGUUAUUGUUUCCUUGAGUUGUUGUAGAUUUUUGGUUCUCCUCUCAAGCAUGGAAUACAAUCAAACUUGCCACACUCUUGUGAUUGAGUGAAGAAACCGAGAGGCAUAGAACUAAAGAAAGAGGGUGAUGACCUUUCUUUUACAACUAACUCGUUUAUUAUUUUGUAGGUGUUUUUCUUAGGUACAUUGCAAUGGAUGGAACGACCCCCCAAACUGUGGGCAACAAUGAUACCAAUAUCCUCAUGGCUUCUAUUGAGGGCCUCAACUGCACUUUAGAAAGAAUGCAAGUGAGUCUUGGGAAGUUAGAAACGAAUGUGUCUGCGGUGAAGGGGGAUGUAACAUCAUUGAAUGGGGAUGUAUCUAUUAUGAGUGGGAGAUUGGAACAAGUGGAAAGCCAAAGGAGCCGCCCCUCUAUUCCUCAGUACUAUCAUGUGUGCUCGAGUGGACAUGAUCAAAACAAUUUCCCUACCAUCUCCCCCGAAAUGUUACACCAAAUGAUCAAUCUACUGAGACAACUACCAAAUUCUUCCAAAGCCGAGAGUUUGAUAGACCAACCUACCCUCCACUUCACCAAGUCCAACAAGAAGAAUUUGGAACCCAAAUAUCAACACCAAACCCGAGCUCUCCACUUAACCAAAGGCCUCACAUUCCAAUUCAAGAUCCAUUAGACCAAAGACCUUACUUUCCACCCAAUCCAAACCACCUAACCCGAACCAACCAAACAGUUUGGAAGGAUACAGUGAGGAAGAAUGACAUGAAGGGUAUGGAGUCUAUGGUAAUAUUUACUUAAGGAAAGAAAGAAUGGGGGGUAGACCUGGGGAGCUACGCCGAGAGGUGAGGGAAGGCUACCAAAAUUGAGACUUGGGCAUAAACUCCAUCAAAGUUAGUCUCCCAAUCUUCAAGGGUGAGAAUGAUCCUGAAGCGUAUCUUUCUUGGGAGUCAUCGUGUGACAAGAUAUUCCAACUCAAUGACCUCAUCGAGAAAAAGAAGAGUUGCUAUGCGAUAGCUCAUUUUGAGGGGUAUGCUAAUACGUGGUGGGAGUAUGUUAAAUGGUUUGGGAAUGAGAUGAUCGGAGGAAAACCUCCUCUUUGGUUUUGGUUGAAGAACCUUAUGCGGCAAAGGUACUUGCCCGAGACUUAUAGGCAUGAGCUCCUUACCAAAUUGUACAAUUUGAGGCAAAGGAUAAAGAGUGUCAUGGCUUACUACGAUAAGUUUCAACAAUUAAUGUUGAAAAUUGACCAUCAGGGAGAGAAAGUAAGUCAUUACAUUGUGUGCUUUAAGGUUAGUUUAAAUAAGGACAUCUCCACUCACAUGACGCUUCACAAAUUCGACACCAUAGAGGGAAUCUUCUAAGCGACUUUAGAGGUGGAGAGGGAGCUCAAAGAGAACUCAUUCGUGGCUGCCCAACCCGAGAUCCCCAAGGUAGUCCAAAAAUAGCCUCCAAUGUAUGAAACUAAAUUUAAUUCUACUUUCAAUUCCAAGGGGUUUCAAUGCUUCAAGUAUCAAGGGUGGGGGCACAAUUCUAGUGAGUGUCCAAACUGGAGGAAUGUGAUCCUAAAGGAGGGGAAGUUAUACUACCUAGGAGAAGAGGUGGUCAUUGAAUUGGUUAAGGUUGAUGGAAAGCUUCAAUAUGGAGAGAACGAAGAGGUUGAAAUUUAAGUUGAGGAGAAAGUAGAAUAUACGUGGCCUUGUGAAGGGCCGUGUGAGAUACCUCUCUAAAAGAGGUGAGGUCAUGAAUUUUUGGGAAAAUUCCUCUCAAGAUGGAGAGGACGAUACAAGUAUGAUCCUGACCAUGGAAACUUUUUGAGCAUUUUUAAAGACCACCUAAAGAGUGCAUAAGCCCAAGUAUGAAGGAGGCCCAAAACCCAUUUUGAAGUGCACUGGGCGGCUUUGGAGCCUUUUAAUGGAAGGGCUCUUUUGUCUUUUGUCCAUUACUUUUAUUGUAAUAUAAAUAUAACAUUGUAGGGUUUUAUGUCUUUAGUUUAUGCUUGAUAUUGUAAUAACACUCUUAUAGAGACAGAGACUCCAACCAAAACUAGGGCCUAACACAAAUGUAGAAUCGUUUGUGUGUGGUCCAUUGCUUGAUACAUUGGUGUUUGAGAGGUGAACGCCCCUCUUGUGUCAUUGUAAGAUUUAGGUGCAUGUUGUAUGUGGUGUUAAGGGUCCAAGAUUGGAAUAGGCUCUUGGGUUCCUAAGAUUACAACUUUAUUGUGUUUAACUAUCUAUCCUUAUUUCUUGUUUUUCAGUUUUGGUUUUCGUGUUUUGUUGUUGAACCUGUAGGUUCUUGUUGGUGUAACCUUGUUGUUCUUCACUAUAUUGUGUUAAUAUAGUUUGUUGUUUUGUUGGCUUCAUGUGUAAAACACUUGUUAUUCUCCCUAUUCUUGUUAUAAAUAGCGAAUCCGAGAGUGGUCACCUAGAUAAUCCACUGUUUCUCUUCUUGUGGACUAUUUUUGGUGUUUGUUUUGUUGUGUUCUUGGUCAUCCUUGUAUCACUCGUGAAGGCCCGUAACCCACAGUGUGAUGGAUUGGGCUUGCUAUUUUCUGGCCCGUCAUGUUGAUGGGCCAGCUCAGCCUGACCCGUCAAAUUUCAAAGCCCAUGUGGGCUAGCCCAGAUGGGCUGGGACAACCCGUAUUGACAGCACUACUAAUAAAGUUAAUUUAGUAAAAUAUACCUCUAAUUAAAGAUUUUUUGAGGGUUAUCUCAAGUCAAUAGGGGCCAAGUAAUAUGAAGUAGAGGGAGUACUCAAUUAUAUCUUGAUUUUCUAAAUAGACAACUUUUUUGUACUAUUUAUUUUUUUGUAAGGAUGAUACAUAAAGUUGUCUGUAGGGAAUAAUAUUUUUAGGUUUUACAUUUUUGUUCAAAAUAUAUAAUUUUUCAAAUAAUAAAAAAUAUAAAUUAUUUCUUUUCAGAUUUACUCUUACUUAACUAAGUAAACUUUUACAUAACCAAAACGCAACAUUAAAUUGGUAUUAUCUCAUUAAGGGUAAUUUAAUAAAGAAACUUCUUACUUUAUAUAGGAGGUAGUGAUUUAUUGAGGGGUGUGCCUAAACUAACUUUUUUUUUAUAUAAUAUGGUUCGGAAGAAGUAUUUAUUAGGAUUUUUUUUUAAUUAAAUUAUCCUUUUUUUUCACCCCAAAACUUUGGCCUAAGGUACGACUAAUUCAACAUCGACAAAUCUAUUUGAACUGGGAGAAUGAGAUAGUAUUUAACUCUAAUGACAAAGAAAUCAAGUGUUCUUGAGUUUUAAAUAAAUAAUGAAGUAAUUUAAAAUGCGGCAUCGAUGACAAGAAAUAAUAUUUCCAUGCACCAAAAAGGCUACAAUCUAACACCAUAUCUUAUGGUCUUGACAAUGAGCAUAGGAGGUAUAUUUGGAGUAAUAUUUGAGCUAAGGACAUAGCUCUAACAAAAAAUUGAAUUGGAAGUUUCUUUACGAAUUAGGUUUGUGAAUGAACUUGCACAAGGUCCAACUUCAAAUAAGUAUAACAUGCAACAUAUAAAUAAUUAAGUGUUGAAUUACCUAUCAAAUUACAGGACUUUGAAUCUAGGUUCCAACACAAUAAAUCAUUCAUCAUUUCAAGCACCGAACAAAAAAUUAUGUACAUUUUACCAAAACGCAGCCAUAAUGGCUUGGCGCUAUGCGGUCCAUGACAAUGUUUCCCUUGAAUCAUACUAUUCUUUCACUAAAAGGCUAUGAGAAAUUCCGACGAGAACGUUUGAGGUAACAGUUUUCUUCCUAUAAUGAUUCUUAGAAGCUUUCAUGUCAUAACUUCUCAUCUUGUAGUUCCAUGAGUAUGUUCAUGUGUAUGUUUUUGCUCAUGUACUCCAUAUUCGAAUUUUAAUCCUCUGUAUGAUUUAGUUAAGCUUAUGAAAAUAUUUAUUUUUGCUUUCAGCCUUAAUCUUCUUUCAAGGAUAGAUGAUCCCAAGUGGGAGAUAUUGCAAUACCUAAGAUUUUUAGCCUACGAAUAUUCAACACUUAACACAAAAAUCAAGUUUUGAACUUGAGUUCUCAGGUUCCUACGGAUGGAUUCACGAGUCAUAAACUGCGUUCAUGAGUCAUUAACCAAGUCCACAAUUUUUGAAACCUCUCAUGAAAACCUAGUUUUCUGUCAUGAAACCCCUUUGAAAAUUACCAGGGUUCUACGAACCUGAUCCAUGAUUCAUGGGAUAGACCACGAUCCAUGAACCAAGUCGUGAACCUAGUCCUGAACCCCUUGAAAAUUCACCAGGGUUCUGUGAACCUAGUUCACAAAUCGUGGAAUGGACCAUGAUCUGUGGAUCAAGUUGUGAACCUUGUGUUGGGUUCAAGAUCAAAGUGUGAAUGGAAAAUGGAGGGAACCAAGUGGAGGAAAAAAUUGAGUUAACACUCAAAAAUGGAAAGUGUACUCAAAAAAUGAAAAGUCUACUAAUUCUCCCACAUUGGUGGGAGAAGGAAAUUUUCAAGUGUUUAUAUUAAGGAACACAUACUCCACAUCAUAAGUGAGGCAAGAGUCAAGAGUCAAGAGGUUCUUUGUACUCUCGUUGUCGCUCGCUCGGCUUCGAUGAGAACUAUCUUUUUGUUCAAAAUUUAUUUGAACAGUCCGAAAAACCAAAGUGAACCUUCAUUAACGUGCAUGCAUGCAGUGCAAAAACAACUUCAGAAUGCAAAAUGCUGCUUUGAAAGGGAUGCAAUCCUUCGACAAAAUGAUACACUGAUUCGGGAAAGGUGAUGUCUGUUUGGAUGGUUGUGACUAUCCAGGAAAAGACACAUUGAUUCGAUGAAUAGGCAUGACUGUUCAGAAAGGAUACACCUUUCCAGUGGACCAUUGCCACCUUUCGAAAGGGGCACCUAAUGGCUAUAUUAACCUGCAUUUUCCCAUAAGUUUAGAUACGAAUUUUUUUUGCAUUGAAACACUUCUUGCUUUCUGAAAUACUUUGUGUGAUCAUCUAAUCAUUGAGUGAGUUCGAAGAGAAUUCGAUUGUUUGAGGUACCACUACAGUCAGAUUGUUAGGCUAUUUUAUCCUGGGAGAAAAAUUUUGCAACCUCAGGUACUUGAGGGGAAUUAUUUCCUUAAGGACACUCCGUGAAUUCGGAGGACUUGGCCUUUUUCUGUUCAUCUAAUUUUUUGAGAAAAACACACUUCUUUGAAAGACCUUUUUUAUCUUGUGUGGAGGGUGUUACAUAACUUUAUAAGUGUUCUUGUUUUAUACUUGAACUUGUGUUGAAAUUGUGGUUGUCAAAAUACAGAUUUUUAUGUAACCGUAGAACAAACCUGUAAAACAACACCUUGGCUAGAGGUCUCCAAGUUUUUUUUAGCACCAAAACAAAUAGAAUCCCAAUUUGUGGUAGGGCCAACAUGACCGCAUACACAUCCAUGGAAAUAAUCCAAUAGAAAUGAAAUUUCUAUCCAAGUCGGCAAACCAGACCAUGAUUUGUGAAAUUAGUUCACGACCCAUGAAACAUGGUUCCUGAAAUUUUCAGUUUGUCUCAUUAAGGGUAAAUUAAUCUUUUGCUUAUUUNNNNNNNNNNNNNNNNNNNNNNNNNNNNNNNNNNNNNNNNNNNNNNNNNNNNNNNNNNNNNNNNNNNNNNNNNNNNNNNNNNNNNNNNNNNNNNNNNNNNNNNNNNNNNNNNNNNNNNNNNNNNNNNNNNNNNNNNNNNNNNNNNNNNNNNNNNNNNNNNNNNNNNNNNNNNNNNNNNNNNNNCUCUUUCCCACAAUAUUUUGGUCAUCAAAUACCUAUAUAUAUACGUACAUACAUACAUACAUACAUACAUACAUAUAUAUAUAUAUUAGAACUUUAAAUACUCAAGAUCAAGUCUAUAACAAGUUCAUAAUAAGUCUAACCAAGAUCAAACAAGUUAGUUUUCCAAAUCAAGAAAAUCAUUCAAGUUCGUUCAUCAAGUAAUUGUCCUCACUAGAGGCAGACCCACAUGUAUAAGUAGGGGUGCACGUGCACCCAUUAGCACCAAUUUCUUGUAUUAUAGUUUUCACUGUUAAGGAUUGAUUAUCGGGCCAAAAGUUUAGGUUAACAACCUCGUAUGACAGUUUCGGCAGUACCAUCAGCUCCGAAACAUUGAUUUUAGGCUGGAGGACCAUCAGCUCCGAAACAUUGAUUUUAGGCUGGAGGACCCUUGGUUUGGGUCCCAAGGCUUCCAAAACUCAUUUUGGGAUAUUAGGUGAAUGGCUAUUAGGUGUGGGACCUAUUUUUCAUCAAAAUGAUCCUAGAUAGAAAUUUUGAUGGCGCCGUUGAGUCUGAAACAUCAAAUUUUUAUAGGAUAGAAUAGUUUAUCUGCAUUUAUGAGAUUUUGGAUGAUUCCUAAGGGUUCGAUAAAAACUUGGCAAAAGCCAAGUUUCAGCUGGUGCAGCUGUUUAAGCGCACCUUUUGUUGCUUAAGUGGUGGCUGCUUACCAUGUCGAGUCCCCGCCUAGCUGCUUUAGCAGAGAUCAUACCACUUCAGCGGAUAUCGCUUAAGUGACCAUAUGAUACUUAAGAGAUCCGUCUGGGCAUGAGUAGCUUAAGAGACCAUAUGGAACUUAAUUGGAAAUUGCUUAAUGUAAGGAUCCAAAAUCACCUCCUAGGACGUCACACGGUGCUUAGGGCUACAAGUGGCCCCAAGCUAACCCUUUGAGCCUAUCACUUCUCAUAAUACUCAUUAAAGAAGGAAUAUAGAAAAAAUUGGCACUUUCAUAUCAAAUGAAAAGAAAUAUGAACAUAAUACUCGGUCCAAACGACCACAAUACUGGAAAUCUCAACACAACCAUAGUCUGAUAACUAGUUUGAUAAAGCUUCUACUACUCUAUGGACUCGACAGUCGUUGAGACAGGUCCCCACUUACUCAAACUGAACUAAAAGUAAUAACAUAAUUUGUCAGGAAUAAAUACCCCCAGGACUCGAUAACAUAAAAGUAAAACAUAACCAUUCUUGAAUAAUCCAUACCAUGGACAUUCAUUCACCAUCACAAUUACUAAAGCGUCUCUUUAAACAUUUAGAAAUCAUAAACAUGUGAUAGUAUAGGGUGACAUGCUAUUGGCUCAUACUCCAUUUAACAAGGUCUUGCAUCAAACACUUAGCAUAUGUUAAAGAACACAUAAUAGGGGAAUUUCAUGCUAACAUGUUACAAUUCAUUCACUAAGGCUUUUCAACAAACACUUGGCAGGAAUAAGCUUGCACAUAAUUGGGGAUUUCUAGUCGAUAUGCUAUAAUGGUCCUAAUUUCUUGACAUACGUAUUUUAUCAAACAUUGGGGAGCAUAAUUUGCUUAUUCAACAAUUUCUACACUUAGUUGACAUAAGCACAUCACUUAACAAGCAACUUGAAGAGGGUUUAUCAUGAACAUCACAUGAAUAUCACAUACUAGGGCCAAAGCUUGAAACCAUGUAAACAAAAUAUGAAUAAAAACUCAAUAAUAGAAUGAACUUCAAUUUAAAUUCACAUGAAUCAUGAAAACUCAUAAACAUAAGAAUCUUUGAAUUUAGAAAAGAAUUCUUAAGCUUCUUGGAUGAAAGGGCCCAAGAGUCAACAUCUGCAUACCUUAGGAAACUCUUUCUUGAAGGCUCUUGGAGAGAUUCUUGAUUUUUCUUGAUUUUUAUUGAAUAAGGGUUUUGAUCUUAUUCUAGGGUUUUUGAUCUUGAAAGAAAUCCUAAUUUAAUGUUAUGGAUGAGAAAUGAAGCCCUCAACUUCGUUCAAGAUAUAUAUAUAUAUAAGUGUAAAAAGGGUAGAAAAAGACAAAAAAGAUCUUUUUUAAAAUGACUUAAAAAUACUGAACGGGAUUUAUGGUGGUCGGAGUGACGGUCCGUCGCUAGUCUGACGGCCCAUUGGAUCGACCGUCGCACGUUAGUCAGAAAAAGGCCAUACUGCCUCAGUUGCAACGGUCUUAGCGAUGGUCCAUCACUAGCUUGACGGUUCAUCGUCUUGGCCAUCACACUUUGGCUAGAAGAGAGAGUCACUGCCUUGGUUACGACGGUUUGGGCGAUGAUUCAUCGCAAGCUCGAAGGUCCAUCAAUUUUUCCUUCGCACCUGGGCGAUUCCGACAGCUCUUAGUAAAACAACCAUAACUUCCUUAUCCAAUGCCAGAUUUUGAUGAAAUUGGUAUCGAUAGAAAGCUUAUUCAAUUAUCGAUAUUAGGAAAAUUAUAUACGGUUUAAAAUAUUUCUUACUUGGGAAGUCACUUCUCAAUAUUUUAGGGUUGGAUUUACGCUUCACUUGACACGCUCUAAGGCUUAGACUACGAGAGAAUUUUGUGGGGUCUUACACCAUUGGUGAAGGGCUUAUUUUGUUUUCAGGACGAUUGGAUCUCAUCCCUUGACAUGGACUCAGUUCUCCAAGUUUUUCUUAGAGAAGUUUAUGCCUUACAGCCUUAAAGAUCUUAUGAGAGUUCUGUUCUCAAGAUUAGAGUAGGGUUCAAUGAUCGUUCUAGAGUAUGAUGCAUGAUCUCAUGAGUUAGUGAGACAUGUUACUAUUAAUUUAUUGAUCAAGUAUGAAUGAAUUCAAUAUUUUGUUAAAGAAAUGAGACUUUCCCUUUGCAUGGCUACUCAAAGUUUGGUUGUCACUAGAUGGUCUUUUAUUGAGGUCUUUGAUUAUGCUUAGACCUUAGAGGAGAUGCAUCAUAAGGUUCAAGGGGCAUUGAUAAGAGACUGUGUUGCUCCGAUAGUUUUAGUGGUUGCCAAAGUGGCUUAUAGUCUAGAGGUAGAGGUUCUCAGGGUGUGUACCCUUCAUGUCAGUCUUAUUAACAUCAAGGUCAGUCUAGUAGGCCUAUUUAUACCGUAAUUUUGAUUAGGAAUAGGGGUCAACCUAAUCUUAGUGAUUAUGUUGGCUAGAUUCAUCGUCAACCUUAUGGUUUUUUUAGUAGAUUAGGCUAUUUUAGGUCAACCCAGAUCUUCUGGUCAGAGUGCAGCACCAGAGUCUUUUUAUGAGCAUGGGGCCUUCAAUCAUUAUUCUAGAGAGUGUCCUCGAUGUGGAACAGUUGUUUUAACACCUCGAAUCUAGUACUCGGAAUACUAUAAGGUGCUCAUGACCCCGAAGGACCACAAGAUAAUCCAUGACUAAUAUCUGUGCCUAUACACUGCAUGAUAUACUAUAUAAAUACAUAAACAUGAACUGAAAGGCCAUAAGAUUCAAAUAUGUAACAUCACUAAUAAAUCAUAAUAUAUGGAUGGGGUAUGAAAUACCCAAAUCACUAAAAUAACUGUCUGAACACACUAGUCUGAAAAGCCUCUAACUGAAUGAACUAUCUGAAUAAGGAGUUGAUGGGAAAUGGUCCCCAAAUAACUCUAACUAAUAAAUUAAUUAAUGAGAUAAUAAAGACAUAAUCAUGUCCUCGAAGAAUGAGGACUCACUGCUAACUAACUGCUGAUAUAUGGAAUCUACUGAUGCUCUGGAGCUCGUGCUUUGAAACCUAUGGCAUAAAACACCAUAGCAUAAAUACGUCAGUGCUUUGAAUAUAUUGGUAUGCAUGUGAGGUAGGCUAAAUGCAUGGGGUUCAUAUGCAUGAACGAUACUGGCUAACUGACUAAUAUGAACGUGAGAAUACCUGCAUGAACACAUAGUAAUUAUAAUUGAGAUCAUGAUAACAUGAGUUUACUGAUAACUAACAUAACUGAUAACUGAGUUUUGAUGACUGAUAUAACUGAUAACAUGAGUGACUGUAUCUGACAGUCCUAAAUCUGAUGAAACUAGCUGCAUUUUGUAUUGUUCUGAGUUGGCUGUAUCUGAUAGUCCUAAAUUCUGUAGAACUAUCUAAGUUCUAAUACUGAGACUGAAUGACUGUAUUUGAUAGUCCUAAAUUCUGUAACUUAAAUUAUGGUAAGUAGUUAUCUAACCGACAUGCCCCUAAUACACCAUUAUGGCUGAGUUGGGGUUCAAUCAGUAACCUUAAUUGGAAGGGUGUCAAUACUGUGCCACUGGUAAGGACAAUCUAGACAAUUUAUGAGUAACCCUCAUAUAACAGGUAACUCUAGUGAGAACAGUGAGAACCCUCAUAUAACAGGUUAAGCCACCUCAUUUACCCUCAUAUAGCAAGCUAUGAUGUCUCAACCUACGCUGGCUACAUAGUUCUAGAACGCAAGGAUUGCUUCUAAGAAUCACACCUUUAUAUAACAGGUGAUUUCCCAUCCUUGGGUUCACUCGGUGCUAAUUUCUACUCCCAUCUUAAUAGACACUGAUGAUGGAUUACUGGACUGAACUGGAUUGAAUUAACUGAAUUUCGUUGAAUGAUGAAAUAGUACUGAGAUUAUUGAAUUACUGAGAUUUCCUGAGUCACAUGACUGACUGAGUUCAAUAGAUCAUGGCUUGACUGAGGAUAUCAUGAAACAUGUCACUGACUCUAGGAACACAACUAUAUUUUUCGGGUACAAGUACCCCCAGGACUCGAUGGAAGAAAACUGACAAGGCAUGACAUUCUUGAAUGCAUGACCAAUCAUAAACAAUCCAUAAUACAAUAAUUGGAAAUAUUUCAUGGGCAUUUGAUUACCAUAGCUUUGUAAGUGAAUAAGAUAUCAUAUAUACAUAGAAUAAUUUCAUAAGGUCAACUCAUGAGCAAUCCAACAAACAAAUUCCAAUACAUAAGAACAACAUGGAAGUCAUUUUGUAUCAUAAUUUAGCUAUAGUGCAAAAUUUCUAUCUUCCUAGGCAUUUUAUCAAACACCUUGCAUGCACCCUUAGGGCAUAGGCCUAAUCAUCAAAUUGACACAUUAUAAAUAACUCAUUUAAUGGAUUUCACUCACUUGCUAAUGUAGUUUCAUGAAAACACAUAAAUAUUCCAACUUGGGAAUAAUAUAACAAGAUAAACAUGGUUACAAUUGACCCACAACAUAAAUAUCAUGAUUUGUAAUUUAAAAUAAGGUUCUUGAGCUUUAUGGAUGAAAGGAAUCCAUAAAUCAACACAACGGAUACCUUAGUUCUUAGUUUUGUGAAGAUUGACGGAGAGACUUUCUUGAAAUUAAAUUCCUAAUUGAAACCCUAGCUUGUUCUUGAGAGAAAAUUGAGAUAAACUAGUUUAUUUUGGGUUUUAAAUAGCUGAACCUCGUGUUAAAGGGCUUAAAUAGGGGUGGAAAAUUGACCCAUAUAACUCUAGAUGCGUCUUUUAGAUUUGUGAAAAUUUCUCGAACUGGACCCCUAGCGAGACACGGCGCUAUCGCGCUGUGUUACUGGAAUUUCACAAUUGGGAAAUAGAGGAAUGGUGCAACGCGGAGCCAUCACAUUGCCACUUUAUUUUCGACCUUGAAGUUUUACGGAACGUGGGAAAAAUUGCACUGAGACACUGGAGAAAGGACAAUUUCCAUUUUAGCUUGUGGCGCGGUGCGCCACUGACCAAUAUACUGCUGUUUUAUGACAAUAAACUGAAAUAGUCAGAACUUUUUACCCAUUUAUCAAAUUAGAGCGAAUCUUAUAUUGAUGGAAAUCUUAUUGAAUUUCCCACAUGGGGAAAAUCUAAAAACAUAAACAUCAUUCAAUUUAGAAGAUAAUACUAGACUUUCUUGGGACGAAAUUAGUUAGAAAACUUUGGGGUAUUAUAAUAUCUCCCCUUUGGGAAUAUUCAUCCUUGAAUGAGACUAACUGAGAUGGGAGAAAUGAUAGGCUGAAGUACAUACUAACCAUAAAAAAAUGAAGCAUGACUGACAUGUCUGAGAUUUAUACUGAGCAUGCAUAUCUGAUGCAUGAUUUCAUGACUUCACUCACUCAUGAACACAGGACUGAGAUUUUUGAUAACUGAGUUUCUUACUAGGAGAAUGUAUGUCUGAUGCAUGAACACAUGACUAAUAUAAUGCAUGAACAUAUGAAUAGAUAUGCAAUGGUACUUAGUAUUAAGUUUUAAAAAUAGAAUCCUAAACAUGAGACUGAUACCAAGUUGUAACUGAAAUAUUGACAUGAAAACUGAAAAGCUUAAGGAGAACUGUUACCUUGAGCUUGAUCUAAGUUAGAGAGGAAAAGGUGAGGAUACUUGGUUUGCAUAUCUGCUUCUACUUCCUAAGUAGCUCCCUCAACGGACUGAUUCAUCCAAAGAACUUUGACUAGAGAGACUUCUUUGUUCCUUAGUCUACAAGUUGAUAGUCUAGAAUUUCGACUGGAAUAUCCUCAUAAAAGAGUCUGUUUUGAACAUCUAUGCUUUGAAUAGGGACUACAAUUGCUGGGUCACCUAUGCACUUCUAGAGUAAAGAGACAUGGAAUACUGGAUGAACUGAGGCUAGAUCUGAAGGCAAUUCGAGCUCAUAAGCUACCUUGCCAAAACGACUGAGAAUUUUGAAGGGAUUGACAUAUCAGGGACUGAGUUUUCCCUUCUUGCCGAACCUCUUCACUCCUUUUAUGGGAGAGAUCUUUCGAUAGACAUAGUCACUAAUCUUAAACUCGAGAUCUUUUCUACACACAUCUGCAUAAGAAUUCCAUUGGCUCUAAGCAGCUCGGAGUCUUUCUCUGAUUAACUAGAAUUUUUCUAAAGUAUCCAAUACUAAGUCAGGUCCUAUGACUGAGGCCUCACUAACUUUGAACCAACUGACUGAAAUCUGCAUCUCCUACCAUAUAGAGCUUCGAACAGAGCCAUCUUAAUACUGGAGUGAUAGCUGUUGUUGUAUGCCAACUCAAUCAAAGUCAAGUGGUCAUCCCAACUACCCUUUAGAUCAAUUACACGCGCUCGCAGCAUAUCUUCUUGAGUCUAAAUAGUCCUUUCUGCUUUACUAUCUGGCUGAGGAUUGAAGGCUGUACUGAGAUGAACUUGGGUAUCAAAACCCUUUGGGAACACUUUCCAGAAAUAAGAGGUGAAUUGGGUACCUCUAUCUAAGACAAUAGACAAUGAAACACCAUGCAAUCUGACCAAUUCUCUGAUGUAGAGUUUGGCGUAAUCCUCGGCUGAAUAAGAGGUAUGAACUGGAACAAAAUGAGCUAAUUUGGUCAUUCAUUCUAUAACCCAAACUAAAUUAUCCUGGCGACGAGUAUGAGGCACACCCAUCAUGGGCUAGGCCCAAAUCUUUGACUGAGGUUCGUUGUUUCAUUAGUUUGGAUGGUUAUUAAAGAUGAUUUGUCGAGAAAUUUUCUACCAUAUCAAACCUUAUGACUAGAUUAACUCAAAAGGAAGUUUUUUUUCUAAUGGUCCGAGGAGUGUGAGUUGAGCUUAGGAAAGCUCAAAGAUUGUCUCACUUUACCCCCGAUGUUAGUCUUCCAGUUUAGGCAGAGGGAUUCACAGUGUUUUGUGAAGUAUCUAGGGUUGGUCUUGGAUGUGUUUUGAUGCAAUAGGGUCGUGUCAUUACCUAUGCUUCUAGAAAUCUUAAGGUUCAUGAGCGAAACUAACCCACUCAUGAUUUACAAUUGGACAUUGGUAGAUUUUGCGCUCAAGAUUUGAAGGCAUUACUUGUAUGGUAUGAAUUGUGAGAUUUUCAUUGAUCAUCGUAGUCUUCAAUAUCUUAUGACCUAGCAAGAUCUUAAUGCUUGCUAGCGCAGAUGGAUGGAGUUGCUAAAGGACUACGAUAUUUCUAUCUUGUGUUAUCCAGGUAAGGCGAAUAUGGUGGAUGAUGCAUUGAGUCAAAAGGUAGUGAGUAUGUGUAGUUUGACAUGUAUAUCAGUUUCUCAUAGGCCCUUGGCACGAAACAUCCAGUCCUUAGCCAAUUUGAUUGUUUUACUUGAUAUUUUGGAUCCUGCGAGGAUUUUGGCUUGUGCGGAGGUGAGGUCUUCCUUAUUUGAGAAGAUUCAUGAUCGUCAGUUUGAGGAUAGUAAGCCUUCUUCAUGAAUGGGUGAUGAGUGGUGAGUCUAGGAGACACAUCAUAGAUUCUGAGGGUUUUUUUAGGUUUUAGGGUCGUAUUUAUGUUCCUUGACUUGAUGACUUAAUUCAGUUGAUACUGUAUGAGGAUCAUAGCUCAAGAUAUUUUAUUCAUCCCGAUAUAGCCAAGAUGUAUAAAGAGUUAAGACAGCUUUAUUAGUGGAUCAGUGUGAAGAGAAAUAUGGAAGACUUCAUAGCUUAUUGCCUAUGCUGUCAGUAGGUUAAGGCCGAGCAUCAGCAUCCAGACGGUUUGACUCAGAGGUUACCUAUUCCUAAGUAGAAAUGGGAAAGGAUUACCAUGGACUUCAUUAGUGGUUUGCCCCAUACUUCCCAUUGUCACAAUGGUAUUUGGGUUAUUGUGGAUUAUUUGACCAAGUCAGCAUAUUUCCUUCCUAUUCAAAUAACCUUUAGUGCUGAGAGAUUGUCCUAAAUUUAUGUUUGAGAGAUAGUUCAUUUGUAUGUGUUCCUUGUAUCUCUUAUAUCAGAUCAUGGUUCUGUAUAUACUUUGCUAUUUUAGAGAUAAUUUUAGAAGGAGUUGGGUACUCGAGUGGAUUUGAGUACAAUCUUUCAUUCACAGAUGGGUGGUCAGUCUGAGCAGACUAUUAAGGUGCUUGAGGAUAUGCUCCAAGCUUAUGUUAUGGACUUUGGAGGAUAGUGGGACCAAUAAUUAGGAUUGGCAAAAUUUGCCUACAACAACAGUUACCAUUUAAGCAUUGAGAUGGUGCCUUAUGAGGCUUUGUACGAUAGGAGAUAUCGUUCCCCUAUAGGAUAGUUUGAGACAUCCGAGGUUAAACCCCUUGGUAUAGAUUUGCUUUAGGAAUCAUUGGAUAAAGUCAGGGUGAUUCAGGAUAAGCUGAGAGCAGCCCAUAGUAGGCAGAAAGCCUAUGCCGACCGUAGACUCUGUGCCUUGAGAUUUGGAGUUUGUGAUCAUAUAUUCCUUUGUUUUUCCCUUAUAAGAGGUGUGAUGAUAUUUAGGGGGAAGGGUAAGCUUAGCCAUCGCUAUAUUGGUCCUUUUGAGAUCCUUCGUGAAGUGGCCAAAGUUGCCUAUGAGUUAGCUUUGCCUUCAGACUUUGCCGUUGUUUAUCUAAUUUUUCAUGUCUCUAUAUUGUAGAAGUAUAUUCUAGAUCCUUCUUAUGUGCUUAGAUAGGACUCGGUCCAGUUGGACGACCAGAUGACCUUUAUGGAGGAGCCCAUGCUUAUUUUGGCUAGUGAUGUGAGGUGACUACAUUCUAGAGAGAUUUUGGUAGUCAAGGUUCAGUGGAGGCAUCACCAUUAGAGGAGGCUACUUGGGAGGUCGAGAGAGAGAUAUGGGCCCAGUAUUCUAAUUUGUUCAAGACUUUAAUAAUCUUCUUUGUCUUUAACUUUCGGGGACAAAAGUUCCUUAGUAGUGGAUGUUGUAAUGACCCUUCAGGUCAUUGUCCGCGUUCUUACUUAUUUUUCUCUAUAGAGCUUCUCCAUAGCUGCCCCAAGUCAUUUGUAACUUGAUGGAACCGAUAGUUCGAUUACCUGGCGGUUUGUUUGGUAUUUAGAAACACUUUCUCCAUUUGAAGUCUUUAUGGGUCUAAUUCACCACUGAGCAAAACCUUUAGUGAAAUGACCCUAAAUGCAAAAUUUAAUUUCAUCAAUACAUCCGAACCAUCAAAAUCUAUGUGGUUACAUAUCUUAUUUGCUUGAAAUAGACUUCGGAUACAUCUCUAGGCAUUGGUCGAUGCCUAAAACCAAGUUCUAAACUUCAAUCGUGCUUUCUAUAGGGAGAGAUACUGUGACCGCAGCGUGAGGGGUACAAAUAUGGUGCCAUGACCAAGCAGGGUCUGCGACCACACUACCUGAGGCUUAGGCAAAGCCUAUUUAAGGGUUGUCUUGCCCAAAAUUUUGGCCAUUUUUUGCCUCCCACUUUAGCUCUAAACCCUGAUAGGGUGUAAAAUAUUCAAGUGAACCUUGUGGAUUGAGUAAGAGCUUGAAUAACUUAUGUAAUACGUUUUUGCUACAUAUCUAAGGUAAGAUUCCUUCUAGUUUGGUUUUAAUUUCUUGAUUUCUAGACCCAAAACCCCUAACUCUUCGAGGCUAAAGUGUUGCCACAAAUGUGAUUAAUUUAUCCAAAUUUCUUGAGGGUUAUCGCUCCCUAAUAAUAGUUGAGCAAUGGGUUGGUCUCGUAAACUCAUUUUUCGAAGAUAGUACCCAUUAGGGGGUUUGGUGUCAUUUUGUACCAAUGGCAUGAUGGUGCCAUAAUGGGUGUUUUUAAUCUUGCAAUAAUGCUUAGAUUAUGCUGUGAUAGCUUGGAUCGUGGAAGAAGAAGCUUCAAAUAAAGGAAAGGCAAAGCUUGUUGGUUCGUGAGCAAUUGGACUCAAGUUUGGUUGGGCUUACUUGUAGUUAGAUUGAGCUUAAUUGUAGUAUAUUUAUGAUAUCUUUUAAGAUUGGAUGGGGUCUUAGAUGAUAAAUAGGUGUAUGAUAAUACUUAGGAUUAGUUGAUCCUCGCAGGCUCUUAAACUUCUAAAAUGUGAUGUUGAUUAUCGCCUAGAACCUUGGAUAGUUGUACUUGUAGUCUCAUGAAUAGAAUGAGAAUACUUUAGUUGAUCCAGUAGAGGAGAAUGAUGUUUUUGACUAAUCUUAAGAGUAUGUUGGCCUAUAUAUGAGUAGCUAUGAAUUGGCCUUAGUGUUUGGGGUGACUUAGAAAGGAUAUUUGAAGAGGAUUUUUCCCUCAUAGGCCUAGUAAGAAUUGAUAAGCCCUUAUGGUGUGAUUAGAUAACAUAGCCUAAUUUCGGGUAGAAGUUAGCCUUGUAGAAGUGAACUUUGCCAUUAUUGGGAUUUAGGAGUGGGACUUGACCUACCUUAAGCUUGAACUAUAUAAUUCCCUAGUGACCUAGAUACUUGAUGAACGUCUAAGUUACAUUAUUAAGGUUAUAAUGGUUGAACUCAGUUGUUGGAUAUGCAUGUGGUCAAUGGUUAGAUAAUGUGUAUACUUGAUUGAUUAUCUUGUUGUCAUGAUAUGGAUAGCCUUGGAAAGUCUUGUAAAUUGAACCUAUGGUUAUGCUAUCUCUUGGCUUAUUGAUAAGUUCACCUAGUGAACCUCUAAUUAUUUUAUCACCCUUGCUAUGACCCAAGCCUAAUGAUUAAGCUAAUGUUUAUGUGAUGGAUUUUCCUUUGGGGUUAGUUUUGUGAAAAGUGGGUGUAAAAGAGGCAUUUAGAGAGCAUGCACUUGACUUAUAACUGACUUGCUUAUGAACAUGUUAACUUGAAAAAUGGUGAUUGCGUAUGUCAUUUAGAUACUCAUUCUUAUGCAUCUACUUAUAUUAUAUAGUGAUGAUUAAUAGUAAAGUAUGAUGUAAUGAGUUACCUUACAUCACUUAUACUCUAUCAUUGUGGGUUGUACAUGCUUAUUUAUUUGACUACAUAUAUAUAUAUAUGUAUAUCAUUAUCUUGACAGAUGUGUUAUUGUGAUAAUGAUAAUCGGUGAAUUAGGAAGAUAUAUUGAUGUUAUGAUGAUACCCGAUGAAUCUGAAGAAUAUAUUGAUGUUAUGUUUAUGCCCAUGAAUUCGAAGGAUAUAUUGAUGUUAUGAUGAUGCCCGGUGAAUUCGGAGGAUAUACUAAUGUUAUGACGAUGCCCGGUGAAUCUGAAGGAUAUAUUGAUGCUAUGAUGAUGCCCGGUGAAUCUGGGGGAUAUGUUGAUAUUAUGAUGAUGCACGGUGAAUCCAGAAGAGGUAAUAAUGACGUGAUAACAUUAUAUGUGGUAAGUAUAUAUGUGAAUGCAUGGUUGUAUAUGAGAUUAUGCAGUGUUUGGCUAAAUCCAUUUGUGUACUUGGGACAUGAUGCCUUCCUUGGUAAAUUGUUAUCUAUUCUUUGUCAUUAAUUACUAGAUAAGAGGUGUGAUCUUUAUUAACUCUAAGUAGUAACUAGAAGUGGAUUAAGCUAAGUAUUGGAAAACUAAUUGAUAUGUGUAAUCUUGUGUAGAACCUAGGGCUUACCGAGUAAAUCUUAUUCACUUGGAUAAAUGGUUAUAAUAUGGAAUUUCGCUAGUGAAGUGGCUUAUGUGAUGGCUAGUUUUAUCUAAUAAAUGACUAAAACUUGUAGGCUAGACGCCUAGUGAGCUAGUUGGUGGACGAUAUUUAGCUAAAAUAUGGAAACUAGUCCUUAAGGUUGCAAUAUGUUCAAUGAUAAUAGACCUAGUAUUGUAUUACUAGUGGUUAAGUCAACAUCUAGUAUGUGAUGCCGUGGUGGCUUAAUUGAUGACUUAUAUAAUUAGGAGGCUAACUAGAAGAUGGCUUUGUGAUGGGCGAAUAAAUAAUAGUGUUAGUAACUUGUAGUUUUUCCUUAUUUGAUGACUAGUAAACUUGUAGACUUGCAAACUAGUGGAUCAUAGAAAUAGAGGCUAGCUAGUAUAGGCUAGACAUUAAGUUUAUUAUUGAAUUAGAGAUUAAAUAACUAUGUAACUAUGUUAUGGUGAUAUCAGUUUUGUUGUGUCAAAUUAUUGUGUUGAUGAUGAUUGUAGACCUCGGUAAGAGGCCAUAGUGGGAAUGUACAACCCGCAACCUUGGUGAGUUGUUUGUGUAGCUGUGCCUUGAUAUGUUGAUGAAUUGAUUUUUUGGUGUACUCUCUGGUGGUAUGGGACGUCGUGAUGAGUUCUUUAUUUGUCUUCCGUAUGUCUACUUCCUGGCGGUAUAGGACAUCGUGGUAAGUUCUUUUGCUAUAUAUUCUAAUGAUGGUAGUUGUGUUGAUUAUGGUAAUUACAUGAUUGUUAUUGUAUAUAUGCAGCUUUACGUUUCCAAAAUGAUUACUCAUGGUGUUUGAAAGUUAUGGUAUAUAUGAAUACAGAAUGUCAUACUAUUGUUCUAGUUGAUUAGUUAUCUUAUACAGUGAUAUUGGAAAAGAUUCAGAUUUGAUUUUGUACCUUGACUUUAAGUUAUUAUCUUACUCUAUAUCGUCCUUAUAUUAUAAUUUAGCUCAGUCGUCUGAUGAUGCCAAUUGAGUACCCGUGUUUUGGUACGCAUACUAUAUUUCUAUUCCUUUUUGGUGUAGACCCGAGUUCUAGUUGCCACUGUUGAGUCAAGAUCGUGCAAUGCUGAUUAUCAGGAUAUAGGGGUAAGCUCUUGGAGUUAGAGUUGCCCUUUUUCCCAUCUAGCGUUAUUCUGCGUUUUGUAUUCGAGACAAAUGUAUGAGACUAUGUAAGACUAUUUGUUGUUGAGUUUUAAUUUCUAUUGUCGAAUGUAGAGAUACUCUUAAACUAAUACUAUUAGGUCAUGAGAUUGGUAUUCGAAUGUUAUUUUUUUCUUUGUGGAAUAUCUUUGUUAUAUUGAGUUCCCAUAUAGGUUCCAUAUUGGAUUUUCCUAUCAAGGUAAUCCAUUGCAUUGGCUCUGGGUUAUGGUGUUGGCUUACCUACUGGUGGGUUAUGGUAGGUUCCAUCAUUACUCAAAAAUGGGUCAUGACAUGAACAAUCCGUUGGAUGAAAUCCUAUUAACUAUUCCAACAGCACAUGUCCAAGACUUUGAUUUCUCGCAACAGAUAAUUCAUCUGUUGCGACAGAUGAUGCUUCUGUUAGAAGAAAUUUAAAUAAUAUUGACAGUUGAUCUGUUACACAGACCAGUCACCUGUUUCAAUAGAUGAGUGAUCUGUUUUUAUUGUUUCAAACAUAUUACUUAUCUGUUGCAACAAGUUAGUUAUAUGUUACAACAGAUAACCUACCUGGUGCAACAGAUGUGUGAUCAGUUGGAAAUGCUAUUUUACUGUUGUACAUAUUAGAUUUAUUGUUAUCUUUUUUAGCGAUGCAUUAAUCAAUUAUAAUCUUUUUUUAUUUUCCUGUUAUUUUUAGAUAAUAUGGCUCCCAAAAGAAAAGAAACUGAAUCAAGUUCAAGUAAAAGAAAAAGUGAAGCAGCUAGGCUACAUCCACCACUUUAUGAGCUUGCUUUACAAGUGAUAUAUCAAUCAAAAGCAGAAGAUAAAGAACAUGGAGCAGAGAAAUAUUUCAAAAGAGAUGAUCCAAAAUCUAAUAGUCCUUCCAUUAAAGAGUUGGUCAAAACCUUCAGUAUUGAUAGUUAUCAUGUAAGAUGCAGUGCGAUAGUGCCAUAGAUUUAACUGGUGAUUUCAUGGUUAAGUCAGCCAUGGGAAAAUCUUUCGAUGACUUCCAAAAAUUACUUCAAGUAUAAAAAUUGGAUGCGUAUUUCAGGGAUAGUUGCUUUGGGCAAUAUUUUGAUUUGUCGGAGGACAACAAUGCUCGUUUCCAAAUGAAAAUGGUAUAUGAUCUUCUCUAGCAUAGGUUAAUGUAUGAAAAUAUAGAUAAGAUGGAUGAGGUGUGGAUAAAUUACUGUAGCAUACCUGUUUAUUUUGGUUGGAAGGAGUUUGCCAUAGUUACUAACUAAAAUAUUAUCCUCCUUCUAUUUCUCAAGUUAUACCUAUUCUAACCCAAAAAAAUACCCCCACACCCAAAAAAGGCAGAGACAAGUCAAUUGAUGGUGAUGACUUGGUGUCCCUUGUUGUUCCAAGCUUUAAAAAUAAAAAUUUGAUAGAAGUGUUGAAAGGUAAAAAAAUUUCAAAGAAGCACAAGCAGUCAUUGUGCUUGACUUGAUUUGUACAUAAUAUUCUUUGGGGGAGAGACGUUAACAACAAUGUACCGCUUGAUUUAAUAAAGUGCUCCGAGGAUCUUGAGGAAUUUAACACCUAUCCUUGGGGUUAUGAAAGCUUCACAAUGACGGUCAAAUAGUUGUUGACUCCGUUAACGCCAGAGACAAUCAACUUAUAUGGCUUUCCCUAGGAUUUCAUUGUAACUUUUUCUUUUAUAAUGAUUCAUUUAUAUUUUAUUGAAUAAUAUUUUUGAUUUAUUGGCGUUAUUUUAUAGUCUUAGGCAUUUGAAGACAUUCCUUAUUUGAGACAACAAGUGAACUACCGGGAAGAAGAUUCAUGUCCAAGAAUCUUGAGAUGGUUGUCGGCUAAAAGUGAUAAAAAUAACAAAUUUCUUGAUCUCUUAUUAAUGAUUUUAAUUAAGUUUUUAUUUUAAUUAAUGAUUUUUUUAAAUGAAUUAAUUAUCAUUCUAAUAUAUGUACUAAUUUAUUUUAGAUUGUGCAUAUGUGGCUUGUUUCGACCAAUUAAGAGUUGAAUAUGUCAUUUUUUCUUACUUUAUUGUCUAUGCAAACUUUAUCGGACUCUAAGGUCAUUGAUAAAAUAAAAAAGCAAUUGGUUGGAGUAGCAUCCAUCACAAGAAAAAUAAUUUUGGAGGGUGGGCUUGUUGUUGUUGAUAGUGUUAGUGGUGAUGGAGCUGUGGGUGGUGGUAGUAUGUGGUAGUGGUGCUGCUGUUGGGGCUUAUGAUGCUCCUCUUAUAAUUUUUGAAAUAACAAACCAUUAUGAUUAGGAUCAUACUGGUUAUACAAAUUUUGCCCCUCCUAGCAAAUGUUUUGCAUGCAAAUGUCAAGACUGCAAAGGAAAACAUGAUGGAGUGAUUAAUGUUAUUAACGCAUUAACUAUUUCUGCAAAGGAGUUGACAUCUAAGAGGGUUGUCAUUCAAUCAAAGAGGAUUUCAUAUCCAUAGACCCCAUUAGAGAUUAAGGCAGCUAAGAGGAGAAGGAGGAAAAUUUUCAAGGCAUCAUUACGCAUCAAAAAAAAGCAAAAUUACAACUCUUUUGUCUUUGUCUUGCACCUUUGAUCUAUAUACAAGGACCACAGAAGAGAAACAUGAGCUGAAGAAGCAGAAUAUAUAUCAUCUGUUCUAAUAAAUAAAUAGACACAUAUCUAUUUCAAUAGAUGGUACAUCUGCUGAAAAUUAUCAAACAUAUAUAUACAUUUGUUGCAAUAGUUGACUAACCUGUUGCAUCAGAUACAUUAUCUGUUGCAACAUAUGUCUCUUCUAUUUUAGCAAAUCAAACAGUUAUUUGUAAUGCUUUAAUUUGUACCAACAGAUGAGCUAUCUACUGCAACAGAUAGGUCAUCUGUUGGGACAAAUUAAAUCAAACUUCUUACUAUUUAUUUUUCCAAAAAGAUGAGUUAUAUAUUGCAACAGAUGAGUCAUCUGUUGAAAAUUAUCAUACAAGUUUUCCUCAUGUUUUAAUUUAUCCCAACAGAUGAUCCAUCUAUUGCAAUAGAUAGAUAAUCUGUUGGGAUAAUAUAAAAUAAGAAGAAGAUCUAUUUGAUUUGCUAAAAUAGAUGAGUUAUCAUUUUCUAUUUUUUUUGUAUCUCUGUGAUUAGCAUUGAUAACUUUGGCUUUCUAGGUGGAUGUCACAGUAGAAGCUAUUUCUGAAUAGCAUAAUAUCACAGUUCAUAAUCCAUCAAUUACUUCCAAAAAUAAAGAAAAUGUGAAGCAUGUCAGUCCGGAAAAAUGGAAUAGUUACCCGUUUAAAGGGUUCAACAUCUCAAACGAGGCUCCAAAAGAACUAACAAACUUAAAUUGUUGAGUAGAUCUUUAUAGCUUGAGUCUGUCAAAGUAAUAACCUCUCCUUAGGAAUUAUUGGCACCAAAACUUAAAUUAUUGAUUUAUUUGUUGAGUAGAUCAUCUGUACCCAUAAUAAUUUUUUUACAUUUCAUUUAUUUGUUGAUUUAUUUCAUGUAAUUUCUGAAGGCUUCAAUUUAUUUUAUUUUGUCUAUGAAUUUUAUUUUAUCCUUAGAUUUGAACUUAUUAAUUGAAAUAAAAUACUAGAUUCAAAUUUUACAGCAAAUAAUGCAUCUGUUGCAACAGACGCGAUAUCUGUUGGAAAGUAUCAAACCGAUUUUGACAUAUGUGGUAACAUGUAGGUCAUCUGUUGGAAAUUAUCAAGCAGGUGUUCCUACUAAUUUGAUUUGUUCUAAUAAAUGACUUAUCUGUUGCAAUAGAUAGACUAUAUAUUGCAAUAAAUAGUCUAUCUGUUGUAACAGAUAGACUUAGAUAUAAACAUCUAUAUAAUGCAACAGAUGAUCAACCUAUUGCAACAGAUAAUCAAUCUAUUAGAAUAGAUAGACUAUUUGUUACAACGUAUAGGCAAUCGGUUGCAUUAUAAAUAAUUCAACUUUCAUCAAACAUAAACAAUUGUCACUACAUGUAAAGUGACUUGAAAUAAAAAUUGUCAUGGUGGUGUUUGUGUUUCUACAUCUUCUUCGUUUAUAUUCACAGGAUCCAACCUUUAAUCAAUACCCCAUAAGCCCACACCUCUUGUAUCCUUGCCACAAUGUUGUCACACAGAAAGGUCAUUGGCUCGGCCAUUUCUAUACCGAUCAGUAAAUAUUCGAUGUAUUCAAGUGCAUAUGACCUGCAUGCGGCACUGAUUUCAUUUCUUAGAAGGUUUAUGUCCUUGUUUCGACCUUAAAAUCCCAUCUUUCAUUCAGCACUUUCACUGGAAAAUGAUCCAUUAGUUUACUCUGCCUCAACAAGUUGGGGAAUAAAUCAAAUAGUGGCUACAUAUGGGUAAAAUAAUCAUCCUCGUCAAAGACAGGUUCGUUGCAGUCAUAAACCUUCAUCAUUCCAUCCUUGAGUAGUAUCUCAAGAGCCAGAAAAUCUUUUACCUCCACAUUCAUUACUGCAAGAAUUCUCUUGACCUUGAUCUAACUCUUUCGGUGUGGAUAUGGCCUCUUUCAUCUGACAUAAUUAAUCAUAUCUUCAUCUCAUUGUAAUCUAGAAACUAAUAAAUCAAAUACCGGGCUAUCUAGAGUUGACGCUAGCUGAAUGAGCUCAUCAUACCUAUCCUUGAAAUUAUUGUAGAAAUUGAGGUCCAUUAUCCUAUCGCCAGCAUCAUAAGCUUCCGGGUACGUUAAUUUCCUACACCUCAUAAGGCAGAGAAUUUCAUUAACAUACUUUGGUAUAAGAAGAUAAUUUUAAAAUAAGUUAGUAAUUUUAAAAAAUAAAAACAAAGUGGAAAGAUGCAACGGAUGGCCCAUUUGUUCCACAGGGUUCUCUGAAUCUAUUAACAGAUUACCCAUCUAAUGCAACUUAUGCAACGGAUGGGCAAUCUGUUGCAAUAGAACCACUAUUAGUUGCACCAGAAUGCCUCGAUAUUACAAUAGAUAACACAUCUAUUGCGUAGCUUCUUCUUCGUGGAGUAUAUUAGAAGGAUAGAUUAGAAAAAGUAAACUUACCGUAUCCACGUACCACUGAUCCAUAUCUGUAAUCUUCUUGAAUUCCUAGGGGAAAGGGUAUUCAUCAUGAAAGUUUUUGCGUAUUUCUUGGAAUUUAUGGUCUUUCUUAGAACAACAUUCUGUUUGGUGUCAUGUUCUAUGUAUAUGUCCACCUUCUUUGAUGGUCCCUAAACUUCAACAACUUUUGGAGAGGAAGGAGCUGCAAUUUUUUUGGUUUCAUAAAUGAGAGCAUAUUUUUAAUUACUUUUUUUCCUAACUGGCACUGUAGGAUUGUACGACUUACUCACCUUCUUGGAUGGUAUGACACCCCUCUUGAAUUUCAAUUCCUCACAGCUUUAGCGAUAGCCUCUACUUUUUCAAAGAUUUUAUCCUGUCUGUCCAUGCACUCUUUGCAUUUACAAUAAGAACAUUAGAGUGAAGAGGGGUGAGAGGGAUCACUAUAAGGGUUAGAGGGAGUGGUGUAAGGGUGAGAGGGACCAGUGUAAGGGGUGAUUUCAAAUAUGUUUUUGUUUCUUGAGCAUCAACAUGCUCAUCAUCAAGACUGCCAUCAGCAUCAGCAUGGCUGCCACCAACAUCAACAACUUCCCCAUCAAUACCCCCAUAAGUAGCAGCCAGAUCUAUUGCAGUAGGUUAGUCAUGAAGAGCCUCAACAUUAGGUUGACCUUGCCUAACUACUCUUCUUAUGGUUGUUGCUCCAGCCAAUUCUUUCUAUAUUAACUCUACUGUUGGGUCUUCUAUUGUAUUAACAAGACAUAGAGAAAUAAAAGAAGUUAUCUCUAACUUUUGUUGAGUGGGUACUAUCCGUGGAUGCACAGCCUAAAAAGGGGUAAAUACGUUUAAAUCAAAUAUUAAAAUGCAGUCACUUGGUUUAUAUGUUAACACAGAUAACUUAUACAACAGAUGAUCUUUAUGGUGUAACAGAUGAUUCGUAUGUGGCAACAAAUUAACUAUCUAUUGCAUUAGAUUACCUAUUUGUUGCAUAAGUUGCAAUAGAUAGGUAAUAUGUAAGUAAGGAUCAGGUAACCAAAGUAAUAAAUGGGUAAUGUAUUGCAAAAAAGGACUCAUCUGUCGUAACAGAUUACAAAUCUGUUGCACCAGAUGAGCAAUCUAUUAAGAUAAAUUGUAACGAAUUAUAAAUCUAUUGCAACAUAUGAAUCUUUUGUUUCAAUAUCUUUUUUUGAGUAAAAUUAUUUUACUUGAAAGAAGACUUACUGCAUCAUCUAGACUGUUAAAGAGAUCAACCUCCUUAAUUCUUGUGUUGCUUUCUGCAGCUAACCACAUAAGGAUCCUUGGAUAAGAAACCUCAUCUGAAUAAUCCUGGUCCUACUUUUGGAGGGGAGAAAUGACUUCAAACACCCAAGCCUAAAAAAUAUAAAAAGAAAGCAAACCAAAAAAAUUCAUAAUAAUUAUUCAAUAGAAACUAAUGCAAGAGUAUACAAAUAGUGAUUAAAUAUACCAUGAAAGCCGAAGUAAAGAUGUACAAGGUGACCGUCUUUGGGGAUAGCUUUAUCAAUAAAUAUUUGACAGUCAACUUGUAGUUGUCAUAUCCCCAGAGAUGAUUGUUGGAUUUCUCAAGAUCCUCAGCAAACCCCAACAAAUCAUCUUCUAUGACUUUGUAGACAUCUCUUGCCAAUAUAACAGAAUGAGCAAACCAAACUAAGCACAAUUACUCUUUGUACUUCUUUGUUAUGACUUUAUCCUUGAGAUCUUCUAACAACAUUAUGGCUCUGUAGCCACGCCCAACAAUGUCUAACAACCCAUCUAUUUUUUCCUUACGUUUGUUGGUUUUGGUAGGUUGUCGCUUGGACAAUGCCUUCCCUUUAUUUGAUGGUGGUGCUUUGGCUGUCUUAUUUGUCUUGGAAUUUUUGUGGGAUGUUUCUUUGAUGAGUGGUUAUUGUGUAUGAUCGUAUCUCAAGCCUAUCACUAUGGGAAACUCUUUCAUGCCAAAACAAACCGGCAUACCACAGUAGUUGAUCUAGAUUUCAUCCAUCUUUUUGCCCCCCUUCCUCCUUAAGAUAUUUAUCAUCCCCUACGUACUUGAUCCUGUGCUUGAGAAGACCAUAUAUCAUGCUCAAUUGGAAACAAGCAUUGUUGUCCUCAGCCAGAUCAAGAAAGUCUCCCAAGCAAUUCUUCUUAAAAAAUCCAUCUAGUUUUUCCUUCUUCAUAGUAUUCCUAAAGUCAUUAAAAGGUUUCCCAACUGAGAUUUAAGUAAAAAAAUCACCAGUUAGUUCUGCAGGGUCAUCUAUCAGUAUCGUAACUUGAAACCUAUCAAUACUAAUAGUUUUGACCUGAUCAUGCUAGAAUUUCAAUCUUAAUUCACACCCCAUUGGUGAUGCACUAUCAUCAUGUUGAUCAUCAUCAUCUUUUUCACUUUCUACUUCCUCCUCUUCUUGUUUAUCUUAUUAUUCUUUCUCCUCACUUUUAUUUUCCUUACCAGCCUAUACAUAGUCUUCUCCACCUCCCUCAACAUCAUUUUCAUAACAUUCCUCAGCUUCACUUUUCCCAGAUUGGGAUUGAUCAGGAAAUUCCUCUAAAUCCAUUUGUACUCUAGCCUUUUUUGUUAGGUGGUCAGAAGUUGAUCCACUUUCAAUUUUUUUUUCUUUUGGGAGGCAUCUUUUAACUACAAACAACAGAAAAAGAAAAAUCACAUUAUAAUUGAUGUCUGCAUAAUUUUUAAAAAAAGGUAAGACAAAUUUCAAUAAAUUUUUAUACGCCACAUUACAAAAAAAUAUUCCAACAGAUAACCCAACAGUUGGAACAGAUGAAUCAUCUAAUACGGCAGAUGUAUAAUCUGCUCCAACAAAUGAACAAUCUGAUGGAUGAGAUCAAAACAGUCUUGCUACUAGUUUGUUUUAAUCCCAACAACUGAAACAUUUGUUGCAAUAGGUGGGAAUUUGUUUGAAGACCUAUUUUAAUAUCUCCCAAUAAAUGUUCCACCUAUUGCAGUAGAUGAACCACUAACACCAACACCAACACCAAAACCAAAACCACCACUAACACCAACACCAAAACCAAAACCACCACUAACACCAACACCAAAACCACCACUAAUACCACCACUACCAACACCACCAACACAACCAAUGCCACCGAUACCAACACCAACAAUGCCACCAAUACCAACACCACCACCAAGACCACUAAUACCAACACCAACACCACCAACACCCCCAAUUCCGCCUAUACAAACACCAAGACCACCAACACCACUACCAACACCACCAAUACCACCAUUAAUACCACCACCAAUACCAAUACCACCAAUACAAAUACCACCACCAAUGCCACUAAUAGAAAUACCAAGACCACCAACACCACCAAUACCACUACCAAGACCACUAACACCACCAUAAAUACCACCACCAAUACCAAUAUCACCACCACUACCAAUUGUCGUACCCUAUUUUUACCUAAGGUCAAAAUGAGUACGACAUUAUGGACUCAAAAAGAAUUGAUUUUAUACAGAGUCACCACCUAAUUUUUAAGGAAAAAUGGGAAACCUAUUUAUUUAUUUAAUAAGUAUGACUUUAUUCUAAUCUACGAAACCAAUUUAAAUUCUAAGUGAGGGUUCAAAUUAUUCCAAAAGGAAGGUAUUAGGUACCCUUCAAAAUCCACAAAUGUGGUUCCCGACCAGACUUAGGUUUAUUAAAAGAAAGAGAAAAAAUUGAUGUUUGUAAGUACAAAUACAAAAAUGCAUAUUAUAACAAUAUAAACAAUUUAUGUAUAAAGAAUGUAUAAAUUGCAUGUGUUAUUGUAAAAAUAUAUGUAUAAAACGAGUAUGAAAAUAAACGAAAGUACAUGAGAAUAUGUAUGAAAAAUGAAAAGAUUAAAUAAAGAAAAAUUAGUUCAAAGGAAAAGAUUACGUAAUGGUUUUAGCGUAAAAAAUAUGAAUUAUUUGAUUUAAUAUCUAAAUCAAUUUAAUUCUUUUAUAUAAAUAGUAACGACCUAAAUUUGCCUAACACGCGAUAAGAAUUGCGUAAACAAAGAAUAUCCCUCCCAACACCCAAAAAUAAAGCUUUCUCUAUAAUAGUAUUUGUACAAGUAUAAAAGAAUAUAAAAAUACAAAUGUAAAACUUAAGUUCUUCUUUGCAUGUUAUUCCCGAUGAAUAUUCCUAAUAACUUAUAUAAACACUUGUAAUAAUAAUGUUAGUAACAAAUAAAUAAUAACAAAAUAAAUUAUAAAAGUACGUGUGCAUAUAUGUAUUUAAAAAUUUAAUUUUGUUAAAAAGUGUGGCCUCAGAUUAGAUUUUAAAAUGGCAUGGCUACGAUAUGAUUGUUGAUUUAUUAGCCGUCCUAAAUCGUCUUGCCAAGAUAUUGGAAUCAUAAAACUCUUUGCAUUGUUAUAAAAAUUUCAUCAUCACCCAAAUUUAUUUAUUUUAUUACGUAUUUAUAUAUGUAAUAGCCGUCUUUUAUUUGGCCUCAAAAAUCAAUCGAAAAUUUCUUCAUCUGCUAAGUGUCGGUCCUUAAUAUAAAUAAUAAUUUUGAUAAAAUAAAAUCCGUCUUUUGUAAUGGGAUAGCCUCAAAUAUCAAGUCGGAGAGAUAAUUUCAUUGGUCAAUUUAACAAUGGUAAGUAGGAUCUAAAUUAAAAAGACAUUAAAAUAAAAUGCCACACCGAUUAAACUUUAAAUAAAACAAAAAAAUAUAUGAAAAUCAAUACAUUAUCUUAACAAAAUAACUCCAAAUUAAUAUAAUACUAAACAAUAAAGUAUUCAACUUAAACUAGUGAAAGUCACUAAAUAACUAGAAAUUGGCCAGAUGUGAUAAUGGAUAGCCGUGAAAUAAUUAGAAUGGAAGAGAAAAAUAAAAAUCAGUCACACAUAUCAUCAAAACAAAUAACAAAAAUAAGUCACAUAACAGGAUGAAAACAAAAUUCACUGAGAAAUGCUAGAAAAAACCCAUUUAAAAAAUAUUAACAUCAAAGCAAAUUAAGUAGACAGAGCAUGAGAAUUGUCACCACAACAGUUAUUUGCUAACCAAAUAUUAAAUCCAUCGAAGUUUCAAUGAAAAACAUUGGCGGUGUGCCGUUCACUGGAGUUGGCAUCGUUUUUGGUUGAUCCCGACAGUCACCUGAAUGGUGGUGGUGUUGGGAUUCACUUGUAGCUCGUCGGUAAUCACCUCCGUUGAGAUAAAAGGGGAAGAGGGAAGAGGAAAAGGGAAAGGUAGUGUAGGCAGUGGUGCUUGUUGGGGGAGAUGGUGGUUUGCCAGCAAAAAGUUUGCCGAACUCCGAUGGUUGCUAGCGGCAGUGAGAGGGAGAAAGAGGAGAAAGAGAAAGAUGAGGGAGAGAAGGUGGGAAAGGAGAGAAGAUGCAUUGGUUUGAGAGAGAAAAAGUCUGAUUUGGUUUUUCUUUAUUUUGUGUAUUUUUGUGUGGUGUAAAAAAAAUA
rnacentral:lncRNA from 1 species